rnacentral:rRNA from 1 species
GAACCUUCGGCGUGCUUAACACAUGCAAGUCGAGCGGUGAAGCCCUUUCGGGGGUGGAUCAGCGGCGAACGGGUGAGUAACACGUGGGCAACCUGCCCCUAACACUGGGAUAACUCCGGGAAACCGGGGCUAAUACCGGAUACGACUUCGGACGGCAUCGUCUGUGGUGGAAAGUUCCGGCGGUUAGGGAUGGGCCCGCGGCCUAUCAGCUUGUUGGUGGGGUAAUGGCCCACCAAGGCGACGACGGGUAGCCGGCCUGAGAGGGCGACCGGCCACACUGGGACUGAGACACGGCCCAGACUCCUACGGGAGGCAGCAGUGGGGAAUAUUGCGCAAUGGGCGAAAGCCUGACGCAGCGACGCCGCGUGAGGGAUGAAGGCCUUCGGGUUGUAAACCUCUUUCAGCAGGGACGAAGCGAAAGUGACGGUACCUGCAGAAGAAGCACCGGCUAACUACGUGCCAGCAGCCGCGGUAAUACGUAGGGUGCAAGCGUUGUCCGGAUUUAUUGGGCGUAAAGAGCUCGUAGGCGGUCUGUCGCGUCGGAUGUGAAAACCCAGGCUUAACCCUGGGCCUGCAUUCGAUACGGGCAGACUAGAGUUCGGUAGGGGAGACUGGAAUUCCUGGUGUA